rnacentral:rRNA from 1 species
AUUAGCUAGUUGGUGAGGUAACGGCUCACCAAGGCCACGAUGCAUAGCCGACCUGAGAGGGUGAUCGGCCACACUGGGACUGAGACACGGCCCAGACUCCUACGGGAGGCAGCAGUAGGGAAUCUUCGGCAAUGGACGAAAGUCUGACCGAGCAACGCCGCGUGAGUGAAGAAGGUUUUCGGAUCGUAAAACUCUGUUGUUAGAGAAGAACAAGGACGUUAGUAACUGAACGUCCCCUGACGGUAUCUAACCAGAAAGCCACGGCUAACUACGUGCCAGCAGCCGCGGUAAUACGUAG